UCCAGUCUGUGAAAGAAACUUAUUGAAACAUCUCUGAGGAAUUUUUCUCCCAAGCUGCCCGGGUGAUGCAGCCAGGAAGCAGUGACGGGGGUGGAGGCCCUGCCCCAUAAAUUCAAAGGGGAAGAAAAUACAAAAGUUACAUUCUGCUGAGUGGGAAGCAGGAUCCAGAACAACCCAGGCCUGUCCAUCAAAACAUGUCAGGAGAUCGGUGCUGAAGGAGGCAACUGGGUGGAUGGGGGGGGGGGGGAGGGGCACUACCUUUAAAAGCUCUUUAUUAAUAGUAUUUUGAUCUGUUGCUUUACAAAAUAUGAUACUUAAGAUGCUAAUUCUGGCUGAAAGCCUUGUUCAUGUAAUGGAGCAAGCAGUUCUGCUGCUAGCAUCUGUGGAAACGCUUGGUCAUGUUCCCACAGCGUCUCUCGGCCAGCUGCUUUCAGAGCGACCCACCAGCCCCAGAGAGCGCUGAUCCCGAGCCGAUUCCUCCCAGCUGCCUUCGGUUUCGUUGCUGCUCCACCUUGGCAGGCCCGUGCAUUUUAAAAGUUUCCUUAUUUCUCCAUAAUGUCUCUCAAUAGCUUGUAACCAUUUUUGACCAAACCCCACUGACUGCAGACUCGUGAAAUUUUACAACUUGGCAUGUUAAUCAACUAAAUAUUGUGAAACAAUAUUUUCAAUAGCUGUAACCCUAAGCUACUUGUUGGAUUUGUUUUUAAUCAAGGGCAUUUCAAUCUUUUAUACAAUUGCUUAGUUUUAAUACAAUUAUUCUUUCCCCAUUUUCAUAUCACUA